GAUGAAGAACGCAGCAAAAUGCGAUAAGUAAUGUGAAUUGCAGAAUUCAGUGAAUCAUCGAAUCUUUGAACGCACAUUGCGCCCGCUGGUAUUCCGGCGGGCAUGCCUGUUCGAGCGUCAUUUCAACCCUCAAGCCCCCGGGUUUGGUGUUGGGGAUCGGCUCUGCCCUUCUGGGCGGUGCCGCCCCCGAAAUACAUUGGCGGUCUCGCUGCAGCCUCCAUUGCGUAGUAGCUAACACCUCGCAACUGGAACGCGGCGCGGCCAUGCCGUAAAACCCCAACUUCUGAAAGUUGACCUCGGAUCAGGUAGGAAUACCCGCUGAACUUAAGCAUAUCAAUAAGCGGAGGA
rnacentral:misc_RNA from 1 species